rnacentral:rRNA from 1 species
UAGGGAAUCUUCCGCAAUGGGCGAAAGCCUGACGGAGCAACGCCGCGUGAGUGAUGAAGGUCUUCGGAUCGUAAAACUCUGUUAUUAGGGAAGAACAAAUGUGUAAGUAACUAUGCACGUCUUGACGGUACCUAAUCAGAAAGCCACGGCUAACUACGUGCCAGCAGCCGCGGUAAUACGUAGGUGGCAAGCGUUAUCCGGAAUUAUUGGGCGUAAAGCGCGCGUAGGCGGUUUUUUAAGUCUGAUGUGAAAGCCCACGGCUCAACCGUGGAGGGUCAUUGGAAACUGGAAAACUUGAGUGCAGAAGAGGAAAGUGGAAUUCCAUGUGUAGCGGUGAAAUGCGCAGAGAUAUGGAGGAACACCAGUGGCGAAGGCGACUUUCUGGUCUGUAACUGACGCUGAUGUGCGAAAGCGUGGGUAGCAAACAGG